UGGGGAAUCUUGCACAAUGGGCGAAAGCCUGAUGCAGCCAUGCCGCGUGAAUGAUGAAGGCCCUAGGGUUGUAAAAUUCUUUCAUCAGGGAUGAUAAUGACAGUACCUGAAGAAGAAGCUCCGGCUAACUUCGUGCCAGCAGCCGCGGUAAUACGAAGGGAGCUAGCGUUGUUCGGAAUUACUGGGCGUAAAGCGCGCGUAGGCGGACUUUUAAGUCAGAGGUGAAAUCCCGGGGCUCAACUCCGGAACUGCCUUUGAAACUGGAAGUCUAGAGACCAGGAGAGGUCAGUGGAAUACCGAGUGGAGAGGUGAAAUUCGCAGAUAUUCGGUGGAACACCAGUGGCGAAGGCGACUGACUGGACUGGAACUGACGCUGAGGCGCGAAAGUGUGGGGAGCAAACAGGAUUAGAUACCCCCGUAGUCC
rnacentral:rRNA from 1 species